UGGUAAAAAAAAAAAAAAAAAAAAAAAAUAUCAAGGGAAGGCGAGCAAAUGGUUUGGGAUCUGACAGUCCACUUCACAUCCCUCUCAAAAUCACUUAAGAAGUACCUAAACAGUGGGAGAUUAAGUUUGAGUUUCCCUUGGUGCAUGGCGUGGACCCAAACUUACGUAGAUCGGCUUUAUUGGUAUGCAAGGAAAACAAAUAUGGGAUUGAAAGGGAACGGUGACUGGAGAAGAACGAGGAAAAAAAGAGCAUCGGAUGAGAGCCUGAAGUUAACAGCUUUGCAAGAGCCGCGCAGCUCAUCCAUUUGAUUAGAGUUACGCAAUAUUUAUAGCCCUACCAAAACAGCGACUGUCUGGCACGAUCGGCUCCGCGUGCAAAUUCUGGGCUGAGAACUGGGAUGUCCUGAUAAUUCAGUACGUGAGUACAUCUACUGAAAAUGUUUGCUAUAAUAUUUACUCCCCGUUCUCGGGGUUCUCCGCGAAUAAAUGCCUCCAAAUAGUUUGGACACCUCCUCGCC